AUUGAACGCUGGCGGCAUGCCUUACACAUGCAAGUCGAACGGUAACAGCUCUUCGGAGGCUGACGAGUGGCGAACGGGUGAGUAAUACAUCGGAACGUGCCCGAUCGUGGGGGAUAACGGAGCGAAAGCUUUGCUAAUACCGCAUACGAUCUACGGAUGAAAGCAGGGGACCCUCGGGCCUUGCGCGAACGGAGCGGCCGGGGGCAGCUUAGGUAGUUGGAGGGAUAAAAGCUUACCAAGCCUACGGUCUUUAGCUGGUCUGAGAGGACGACCAGCCACACUGGGACGGCGACACGGCCCAGACUCCCACGGGAGGCAGCAGUGGGGAAUUUUGGACAAUGGGCGAAAGCCUGAUCCAGCAAUGCCGCGUGCAGGAUGAAGGCCUUCGGGUUGUAAACUGCUUUUGUACGGAACGAAAAGUCUCGGGUUAAUACCCUGGGACCAUGACGGUACCGUAAGAAUAAGCACCGGCUAACUACGUGCCAGCCGCCGCAGUAA
rnacentral:rRNA from 1 species